AGCACAUGUCAGCCUGUGUGUACUGAGCUGUUGAUGGCUGCUUAAAAGUGAGCUUUUUCAAGACUUGGGUGCCUGUGUCCUGUGGGAGUGUGAUGCCCUUACCAAUGAAGUUGAACCUUUAAGAUUAUCCCAAGUUCAUAAAUGGUGACAUUUUCAUCUGUGUUAUAAGUUCUAGGCCUCUGGUACUUUUCUCAUCAUCAAAAAAGAAAGCCUACAGGAUGGUCCAUAAGAUACUGGUUUCUAUCAGCAGCCUCCAUACAUGAUGUCUUCAAGGCCCACCCUCUGUAAUUUUCCAUACUUGGAGUCUGCUUACUGUGAAAGUGACCCGUAUCUCCUUGCUUUAUCCUUAGUUCUCCCUAUCAGAGUGAAGACAGAAUUUUCUCCAUUAUUUUCCCAGAGGUUUUUGUAUGUUUUGUUUGCUACUUUCAUCAUAGAAAUUGAGGGCAACUAGAUCAGUGAUGUUUUGGGUACACUUAAGUAAUUAUAUGUUUCUGGUUCUGCAUGUCCCUGGCUUAGCUGCCUAACUGUUCCCAAGCAGAUCAGUCUCAUUUUGCUUAUGACUGGCCUUUUCUAAGGUAACACUGGGAUUCUAUCCUAAGGAUCAAAAACUUGAGAAAUGUUUUAAGUGGCUGUGGCUUCAUUGACAAUGG
rnacentral:lncRNA from 1 species